rnacentral:rRNA from 1 species
UACCUUACGAGGACAUUGGAGGGCAAGUCUGGUGCCAGCAGCCGCGGUAAUUCCAGCUCCAAUAGCGUAUAUUAAAGUUGUUGCAGUUAAAAAGCUCGUAGUUGGAUUUUGGAACUCGCUUGUUGGGCCGCCGCAAGGUGUUGCUCCGACCAGGUGUGUUCUUUCCUCCCGAAAUCGGCGUGUGCGCUUAAUUGAGUGUGCGUCGAGUUUGGGACUUUUACUGUGAAAAAAUUAGAGUGUUCAAAGCAGGCUAUCGCUUGAAUAUUUCAGCAUGGAAUAAUGGAAUAGGACGUUGGUUCUAUUUUGUUGGUUUCUAGGACCAAAGUAAUGAUUAAUAGGGAUAGUUGGGGGCAUUAGUAUUUAAUUGUCAGAGGUGAAAUUCUUGGAUUUAUGAAAGACUAACUUCUGCGAAAGCAUUUGCCAAGGAUGUUUUCAUUAAUCAAGAACGAAAGUUAGGGGAUCGAAGAUGAUCAGAUACCGUCGUAGUCCUAACCAUAAACUAUGCCGACUAGGGAUUGGU